ensembl:rRNA 5S_rRNA 5S ribosomal RNA
GUCUAUGGCCAUACCACCCUGAGCAUGCCCAGUCGCAUGUGAUCUCGGAAGCUAAGCAGGGUUGGGCCUAGGUAGUGCUUAGAUGGGAGAGAGAGCUUGAGAGAGAAGGGAGAGAUAGAGA